AUUAAUAACAGGGACUCUUCCUAUUCAAACGCAGUCUCCAGACCGUCACAGAGCUGUUGUGUUUCAGCAGAGGCCUGAAGAGUGGACACAGAUAAACCUCAUCUUACUUGAAGUUUAAGCAGAAUUUCCAAAUGUCUUUAAAAACAUAGAUGUUUUUCUUUUUUUUUCUUCUACUGAGUGUCAUCUGUUUUUGCCUCGGUUGCUGUUUCCCCACUUUUUCUGUGUAUGGGACCCAGACUCAUGCCAGAGAGUUGUGUUUUUUGGCAGGGAGGACGGGGUGACGUCGACAGGCGUGGUAAUAACAAUGAGAACACUAUUAAGUCCAGACUACGCGGGGUCUCGGAGAAAGAGAGAGAAGGAGAGGAAAAAAAUGUGGGGUGUGCCCUUAAAAUAUUAAAUUUAUGUAUUGAAACUCUCAUACCUGAGGUGGUAAAAAACUUUCACUCGAACUGAAACAAAUGCGACCACACUUUAUGGCAUUGGAGUUUCCUGUGAGUCGGGGAGUGCGCACAGAGAAUCCGAGCAGUACAGUACAUAGGAAAUGACUCAUAGGAGUGGAGCUGUUAGCGUGGGUGUGUGCGCGCUAUUAAAACAAGGCGCAGACUCCUCCGUAUGACUCACUCUGAUGCUCGCUUUUCCAUGCUGAAAACCAGCACGGACUGUUAAUCAGAUGAACUUUCGGGAAUUGUGUAGCCGACAGCGAGCAGCUUUCCCUCCGCAGAUAUCAUGGCUUUAAACGCUCUUUGCGCGCUCUGCGGACUUAUUAUUGCGGCGGUGACCACUUUCCAUGGUGUGAGCGCGCAGAAAACCUGCCUGAUCUGGUGUAGUUUCUACUUUCGCCUUUGUCUGCCCAGCACUGAUGAGGCGGCUCAUCAUCUCCUGAGGUCGGUGUAGCAAUAUAUUUGUUACAUGGUACUGCCGCAGUUUCCCACGCCUUCAUUUCCCUACUUUGAUAUGCGUCAGGUUCACCUCUGUGAGUUUUGCUAUUGCUCUCAGCGGUGGUUAAAGCCAGCAGUUUAAAGGCAAAUGUUACCACAAAUCAUGGCGCAGCUGGUUUCUUGUUAAAAUUGUUAAGCAUAAAAGACGUUUGCUUUCUUAAAAUUCUAUGCAAAUGCGUGUGUGAUGCAUUUGAUGAGGAAUGAUUAUCAUCAUUUAUCAAGUAUCUCUGGGCGGUUUCCUUGUUAUUAUCUGUAAUGCUGUCGUGUCUGGUAUUGUUUGACCUUAUUAGGUUGACUUUGAGUUGUAAUAUUGUUUUUGCAGAGAUUGUACUUCAUGCAUGUCUUCAGGGCAUAUGUGUUUCUUAACCAAAUGCAGGAUGUUGAAGCUGCAGAGAAAACCGCACGCUAUUAAAACAAGAAAACGGCCUCUGCUCUCAGCCUGUCUCACAUCUUUAGCCUUGUCCUUUCCUUAUCAUCUAGGAAGUGCACGGCUUUAAUUGUCCGCCUGGCUGGCUGCCAGAAUAAAGAAACGAAACUGUCCAUUGUGGCUGCAGAGGUAGACGUUUUCUGUCUGGGCUGAACCAAACUGCCACUUCUUUUUCUCACAGAUGCAAAUUUAUUCUCUGGAAGUCACACAUAUACGCGCAUAAGACAAUUCGACGGAAGCACUCUGUGAAAGCACAUCCUGCUCUUCACACACAUGGCCCGAAUGUUCACGCACGCCAAACCGACUACUUGUCUGUCGUGCAGAUGAGGUGCACCGACAGAUUCUCCUUCCUCGUUUCACUUUAUGAGAAGAGAAAUCAUUUGAUGUCCUGUUCAGGUCACAUGUUUUUACUGCACUGGGUCAGUGUCGGAGCUCGGAGUUCUGGAGCUCAGACUAUGAUGGUUGCUUGCCCUGUGAAUCAUGCAAGCAGUACCCGAAAACCCCGUCCUGCAACACAUGCAAAUCAGUGGAUGAGACACCCGACGUCUGGAAACUGGCAGCAAUCACCAGCUUCUCAGUACUGGCUGUGGUGCUGGUCAGCGCUGCACUGAUCAUCGGGGUCAUGGUGCAUCGACGCAAGUCGCACAAACGGCCUUUACGUGAACCUAUCGAAGAAACUGCGGGGCCACUUUAUCAAGCUUAAACCACUCACCUCAUCUUCCUCUGAAAACUGAUGUAACAGAACCAAGGAGCCACUGGUUACUAGCCGGGCGGAGGAAACCUCUGAACGGCGAACCGUGUACUCUGACUGCAGGGUAUACCUCGACCAGAAAUGGACCUUCUUUUUUUUUUUUUUAUUUAUUAGACUGUUUGGUGAAGAGAUAAGCUCAGUUCUCAUGCUUGGUGUAGGUCCAGUGGUUAAAACAGGACUUGCAAUGAGCAAAUCUCACACCUCUGUAGGUAUAUUAACAGCAUUAUACUAGUGGUAUCAUCUUUUAGAACUUGUGUGCCUUCAUAUUCCACUCCGUUGAGAUUUUGAUCUGGAUCAUUGGGGGGGGGUUAGGCAGGUUUGACUGAGAAUUAACCGUAAAACUAGAGUCUGCACGCCUGCAUUGCGUUGUGCUGUUUUCAGCAGGACUCCAGUGAAUGUAACACAGCUACAUCCGCCAGCUGGGCCACAGUUUGAUCCCCCCUGCUGUUCAGCGGGGUAACACAGGGCCUCUCUGUUGGUCAUUUACCACAACAGCCUCUGAAAGAUAGAUCACAUGUGAGUAACACAUACUGUUUGGCACAUUAAGGCCAUAUGAAUGUAGCUACCUUUUAAAAAAUCUUUUUAGGUGAAUUGUACUCCAACCUUUGUUCCUGCCAGUACCUGUUCUUGUAGUUGCCUGACGCAGUGAGAACGCUGUUGAGUAAAGGAGCAAACUGUACUCAUGCACUGUUACUGGGUCUCCUGAGACCAACACAGACCAUUUAUUGCAGGUCACUAAAAUAUUGUCUUGUCUGUUUUUUUUUCUUUUAUUUCAUUUAGAGUUUAGAUGUCAUUUUUGCCUAAAACAAACCCUGAAUUCACAUGACUGUUGCAGCAGCGCUUUGUAACCCAGGAUGCUUGAAACACUAGACGUACAGCCCCAAACUGCUAACAUGUGAGAAUGUUGUGAGGAAUGUACUGCAGAGAGGAAAACUAACUACACCUACAGUGUUUUAAACGGAGCUUCAGCAAUCACAGCGCUUUUCAGAUCUGCAGCAAGGCAAAAAAAAAAAAAAAUGGUUGCAACUGCAGUGGUCUGUAAUUUUGUUGCCGCUGAAGCCAACACGAACCACAGUGGACAGGGUUGUUGUUUUCAGCUUUUUUUUAAAUGUUUUUUUUCUCUUACCAACAUUGAACACGAUUCUUGUGAAUCCUUGUGAUAAUUUGGCACCGACAAUGAUUCAGGUCACGGAUCUGUCUGCUUGUGGGUGAACUGCUUGCCCUCUGGCAACAAAAUUGGGGAACCAUUUAACAUACAUUUUAUUGUCUGUUUUUGUUUCUUUUUUUAAUUUUUUAAAAGAGGUCUAUAUUAUUUAUUUUAGUAUGUUGAGCUGUUGUAAUGCAACGAGUGUGACAGACAAGCACAGUUUUAAAGGGACACCAGUGAAGAUUUUUUCAAAACGUCCACCAGGCCAGCUAUUACUGAACAAUAUCUUAACAUUUUCUACUUGUUUCUCUUGCCUUCUAGUUCUUCUUGUAUAUAAUGUAAAUGCACUGGCUUUUACUUAAUGCAAUCUUUAUAAACUGCUUUUUGUGUAGCAAAUGUAUUUUCACAAUAAAACUGACAAUUUCCAU
ensembl:lncRNA